GAUGAACGCUGGCGGCGUGCCUAAUACAUGCAAGUCGAGCGAAUGGAUUAAGAGCUUGCUCUUAUGAAGUUAGCGGCGGACGGGUGAGUAACACGUGGGUAACCUGCCCAUAAGACUGGGAUAACUCCGGGAAACCGGGGCUAAUACCGGAUAACAUUUUGAACCGCAUGGUUCGAAAUUGAAAGGCGGCUUCGGCUGUCACUUAUGGAUGGACCCGCGUCGCAUUAGCUAGUUGGUGAGGUAACGGCUCACCAAGGCAACGAUGCGUAGCCGACCUGAGAGGGUGAUCGGCCACACUGGGACUGGGACACGGCCCAGACUCCUACGGGAGGCAGCAGUAGGGAAUCUUCCGAAAUGGACGAAAGUCGGACGGAGCAACGCCGCGUGAGUGAUGAAGGCUUUCGGGUCGUAAAACUCUGUUGUUAGGGAAGAACAAGUGCUAGUUGAAUAAGCUGGCACCUUGACGGUACCUAACCAGAAAGCCACGGCUAACUACGUGCCAGCAGCCGCAGUAA
rnacentral:rRNA from 1 species